rnacentral:rRNA from 1 species
CCUACGGGAGGCAGCAGUCGAGAAUCAUUCACAAUGGGGGAAACCCUGAUGGUGCGACGCCGCGUGGGGGAAUGAAGGUCUUCGGAUUGUAAACCUCUGUCAUGUGGGAGCAAAUUAAAAAGAUAGUACCACAUGAGGAAGAGACGGCUAACUCUGUGCCAGCAACCGCGGUAAUACAGAGGUCUCAAGCGUUGUUCGGAAUCACUGGGCGUAAAGCGUGCGUAGGCUGUUUCGUAAGUCGUGUGUGAAAGGCGCGGGCUCAACCCGCGGACGGCACAUGAUACUGGGAGACUAGAGUAAUGGAGGGGGAGCCGGAAUUCUCGGUGUAGCAGUGAAAUGCGUAGAUAUCGAGAGGAACACUCGUGGCGAAGGCGGGUUCCUGGACAUUAACUGACGCUGAGGCACGAAGGCCAGGGGAGCGAAAGGGAUUAGAUACCCUUGUAGUC